GCAUGUGGUCUAAAAGGAAACAAACAAAUCUUUAUUAACAAGAAUUGCUCUUCUGAGGCUGCUGCAUUUAGAAGUUUGACCCCCUUCAAUGAUUGGUCCAUUUUGUGCAACCGUAAGACUCUUCCAGCUUUUGGUAAGAUGUAGAAAGGGAUUCUGUAACCCUGAACAUCAUCCAAAAUGGCUAGCCAGAAGUUAUUAUUUUGAUUUCUUGAUCCUCUAUAAGUACCCAAGAUUUAUCCCAUGAAUAACCGAGGUGAGACUAAACAUACAUCCGUACAGAUCGUCACAUACUCUCCCGUUUAAGCCUUGACAUUCUCAUCAGGCUAAAGGUUCAAAUUCAUUUAAAUCUAAUCACAAGCACCACGAUGGGUCCGUGGUCAACCCCAUUGAAUCCGUGCUGCAAUGUUCCGUAGUCCAUAUAGGUUAUGAACCAGGUCCAUUUCUAUAUCAUUUGUGACAACUCAGGAGCAUACCUAAAAAAACUAGCUGGAAGGUAUUCUUUAGAUUUUUUUGAUCCUGUAUAAAUAAUACUCAAGAUCUACCCAGUGAAUAAGUAG
rnacentral:lncRNA from 1 species